UACGUAGGGUGCGAGCGUUAAUCGGAAUUACUGGGCGUAAAGCGUGCGCAGGCGGUUUGUUAAGACAGAUGUGAAAUCCCCGGGCUUAACCUGGGAACUGCAUUUGUGACUGGCAAGCUAGAGUAUGGCAGAGGGGGGUAGAAUUCCACGUGUAGCAGUGAAAUGCGUAGAGAUGUGGAGGAAUACCGAUGGCGAAGGCAGCCCCCUGGGCCAAUACUGACGCUGAGGUGCGAAAGCGUGGGGAGCAAACAGG
rnacentral:rRNA from 1 species